GGAGGCGUCAGGGUGCCUGGUGGCCCCCCCGGUCUUCAAAACCGACGGACGGCGCUAAGCGUCGUCGGCGGGUUCGAUUCCCGUCCGCCUCCGCCA
rnacentral:tRNA from 1 species